rnacentral:tRNA from 1 species
CGCGGGAUAGAGCAGUGCGGUAGCUCGUCGGGCUCAUAACCCGGAGGUCGGUGGUUCAAAUCCGCCUCCCGCUA